AGCGCAACUGCGCGUGCUCCACCCAGGUGCGCCGCCGGCCAGCCCCAGAGUUCCCCGCGCGCGGUCGUUGACCUAGGAGUCGCGGUGGCUCCUGGUCCUCGUGUCCCCAGGCGUGAAGGAGAGAAAUCGCUGGACGACCGGUGGGACUCGGCCUCGGUGCAGAUACAAGGAGAAGUCAGCAGUCUACAAAUCAGAAAACUUUCCUUACCAGAACUCAGCCGUACUGGCACCCUGCUGUUGAACUUCCAGUCUCCAGAACUUUUAUGAAGCACUGCUGUAUACAUCAUUCUACUGAAUGAAGACCUGAAUGCCUCAGACACUUCUAGCACCAAGCCUCAUGAUCUUUAAGGUCUUGGAUCAACUGGUAUAGUGAAAAGAAAAUAAGGCAUAAUGUGAAAGAUCCAUGGCUUGACCUUGACCUGAAAGAUCCUUGGCAAGAGAUUCAUAAAAUCCUCUCUCCGCAUGGUACAGCGUGAGACCAAAGAGUUGCUGUGAGGGAACAUGGAACUGAGGUUGCCUGCAGUUGCAUAGAGGGACCAAACAUAUGGUUGGUUGCUGAGAAACAGUUAGAAUGCUCCUGUGAAGAAAAGUGGCUGGCGGAUAGUGGAUCAUUAAUUACCAGGCUAUUUAAGCAGAUCAACAGCAACAAACCUGCGCACGAAGGGAAUUACUCCGGACACCUGUAACUCUUUUUUCUUCCUAUCUUCCCUCCGACCACUAAGAAAACUGCCUCAUGAGGGCAACCUUGUGUGACUCUUACCCUAAAGCUUUGAUGUCACCUGCAUUUGUCUUUGUUCUUCUCUGAUGAACUCGUUAACAUUUCUGUCGGUGAGGAUGCUAAUUGCAUGAUUACCAACCUUAAUUACGAGGUGCUCUGAACUACGCUGAUUCUUCUUCCUUCGCUGAAGGUCACUCAUGUGUGCACCUGAGCUGUGAAAACUCCACGUGUAUUUGAUAUGGUUUGAGGCACGCCCUGAACACACCUGCUUCCCAGAAACUUUGAAUCUGUGCUGCAGGCGCCCGGGCCCCAUGCCCUGGCCACAGAUGAUUGGAUAGAGUUGUGCACGUGGUUUAAGGACCGUAGGUCGGCUGAGCCAAUCAGAUUCUACUUCUCAGGAUUUUGGACCGGUGAACUAAGAUGCAGCUUCCUUCAGUGGCAGGAGCCCCCUUGUGUGCCCAGAGGAUGAAGAGUGGGAGAUGGAAGUAGAGAGAGACAAAGAGAGGAAAGGAAAGAGAGAGAGAUCAUGUGCAGAGUGAGGCGGGGAGAUCUUGAGCGAUGAGACCAUCUCUCCGUGGAUUGUGAGCGAUGCUGCUGGAAGCUUUACUUCUUGGCUCUCUAGGUCCCAGGUGCCUUCCAGGAGGACUGGCUGUACUUCCUGCACUGUCGGUCUGUGGGAUUCUCCUUAUGGAACUGACUUAAGUGGUUUUCUAUCCUCACAACCUAACUGCUUGCACAGAACCCAAAAUAUGUUAGAAACAUACUUCUUGCGUUUCUGGCAAGACUGGCUUUUAGGCUCCAGCAGUAUUUCAUAUUAAUCAUAAAACAGCAACUUAGGCUCAUAAACAUUUGUCAUUCAGACUAAAAUCCCACACAGGAUUGGAAUUCAUGGAUUUGCUCAAAGCCC